ACUUCGAUGUCGACUCAUCACAUCCUGGAGUUGAAGAAGGUCCCAAUGGUUCAGUUGUUCACCGAUUCAACUGGUACGUGAGUUGGGUACGUCAUAAGACAGUUC
rnacentral:ncRNA from 1 species